ensembl:lncRNA
GCUACUUCUAAUUACAUAAAAUAUUAAACUAAUUUGAAUGGGAGUUCUCUCUUGUAGUAGAAUUUAUGAAAAUAAGGAAAAUUGACAAGAUAAUAACAACUGUUAACAAUAUAACAGUGUAUCCUUCUUUUAGCUUCUCUUUAUAAAGUACACAAAACAGAAAUGAAUACAAAGCUGUUAAUCCCUACCAUUCAUGAAUUAUGAAAAAAAAAUCGACUGACCUGAAUUAUUAUGCCAGUAAUAACAACUUUCAUUGUUGAAUGCAAACUGUUGAAUUACGGCCUGAACUCCUGAUUAACCACCUGAGGCAAGUGCUGAGUCAGCUGCGGGAGCAAAGGUGGAGGCAAUUCCAUCUGUGUGACCGGAAAGGGUGGAGCCAGGCUCCACCUCUCCCAAACCCCAUUUAAGGGCUGACUCCCACUGAGGGAGGAUCUCCUUCUGGAGAUCACUGCUCUUGGAGCCCUUGCAGUGAGCCCAGGGCACAGUGCCUAACAACCCUUUCUGUAAAGAAGUGUUUCCUGAUGUCCAACCUAAACUUAUCCUGGAGCAACUUAAGGCCAUCUCUCCUUGUCCUGUCAGCAGUGAGAAGAGACCAGCCCCACUCUUGCUGUAAGCAACUUUCAGAUAUUGGAAGAGAGCAAGUUCUCCCCUCAGCCUCCUUUUCCCCAGACUGAGCAGUCCCAGUUCCUUCAGCGUCUCCUCGUAGGGCACAUUCGCCAAGCCUUUCACAAGCCCUGUUGCCCUUCUCUGGAUCUGCUCGAGCAUCUCAGUGUCCUUCUUGUACUGAGGUGCCCAAAACUGAACACAGUACUUGAGGUGAGGCCUCAUCAGGGCCGAGUACAGGGGCAGGAUGACUUCCCUAGUCCUGCUCACCACACUGUUCCUGAUACAAACCAGGAUGCCAUUGGCCUUCUUGGCCACCUGGGCACACUGCUGGCUCAUACUCAGAUGACUGUCCAUCAGUACACCAAGGUCCCUUUCCAUCUGGCAGCUUUCCAGCCACUCCUCCCCAAGCCUGGAGGGUUGCCUGGUGUUGUUGUGACCAAAAUGCAGGACCCGACACUUGGCCCUACUGAAACUCAUACAGUUUGCCUUGGCCCAUUGAUCCAGUCUAUCCAGGUCCCUCUAUAGUGCCUUUCUCCCUUCAGGCAGAUCAGCACUCCCUCCCAACUUGGUGUUGUCUGCAAACUUACCGAGGGAGCACUCAAUCCCCUCGUCAAGAUCAUCAAUGAAGAUAUUAAAUUGAAGUGGCCCCAGUACUGAGCCCUGGGGGACAGUGCUUGUGACCGGCCACCAACUAGAUUCAACUCCACUGACCACAACACUUUGUGCCUUGCCAUCCAAGCAAUGUUUCACCCAGCAGAGCGUACGCCCAUCCAAACCGUGGGCAGCCAGCUUCUCCAUGAGAAUGUUGUGGGGGACAGAGUCAAAGGCUUUACUGAAGUCCAGGUAGACCACAUCGACAGCCUUACUUUCAUCCACUAAGCCA